rnacentral:rRNA from 1 species
UACGAAGGGGGCUAGCGUUGUUCGGAAUCACUGGGCGUAAAGGGCGCGUAGGCGGCCGAUCAAGUCGGGGGUGAAAGCCUGUGGCUCAACCACAGAAUUGCCUUCGAUACUGUUUGACUUGAGACCGGAAGAGGUAAGUGGAACUGCGAGUGUAGAGGUGAAAUUCGUAGAUAUUCGCAAGAACACCAGUGGCGAAGGCGGCUUACUGGUCCGGUUCUGACGCUGAGGCGCGAAAGCGUGGGGAGCAAACAGG